UACGAAGGGGGCUAGCGUUGCUCGGAAUUACUGGGCGUAAAGCGCACGUAGCGGUCUUUUAAGUCGGGGGUGAAAUCCUGGAGCUCAACUCCAGAACUGCCUUCGAUACUGGAAGACUUGAGUCCGGGAGAGGUGAGUGGAACUGCGAGUGUAGAGGUGAAAUUCGUAGAUAUUCGCAAGAACACCAAGUGGCGAAGGCGGCUCACUGGCCCGGUA
rnacentral:rRNA from 1 species